AGUGACGUCAAGUCAUCAUGGCCCUUACGGCCAGGGCUACACACGUGCUACAAUGGUCGGUACAGAGGGUUGCCAAGCCGCGAGGUGGAGCUAAUCUACACAAACCGAUCGUAGUCCGGAUCGCAGUCUGCAACUCGACUGCGUGAAGUCGGAAUCGCUAGUAAUCGUGAAUCAGAAUGUCCACGGUCGAAUACGUUCCCGGGCCUU
rnacentral:rRNA from 1 species